GCUGGACGUGAUUUGUUGUUGAUGAACAGAAGAGAGCUUGAUCAUUAGGAUUGAUUUUUUCUUUCUCUCUUCUUUAGGGUUGUCCCGCAUCAGAGGGAGGAAAAGACAAUGGGGGAGUAUUUUUUUUCUUCUUCUCUUUCAACUUAGAACUCUCUCAUUCCCAUCUUCUAUCACUAUUCUCCCUCUCCAACUGUCACUGACUUAACA
rnacentral:lncRNA from 1 species